rnacentral:lncRNA from 1 species
UUGUUUUCAGACAGACUCCCCUACUCUUGCUUCUAACUCAAGGUAAAGCUUUUUGGAUUUGAUUCCAUCUAAGUUUCUUCAUUUAUUUACAGAUCUUUACUUUUUCACUUUUUUCAUGAGCAAAAUAAAGUUUCCAUCCUUGGUUAGUACAGGGAUUGAAGCUGAAAGAAACGUGGUUGAGGCUAUGGGGGAAAUCACCAGGAAAUCAGUGUUCCUAUGACUCUGUACCGAACAUUUACUGCUAAAAACCAAAUCUAGAUGCUGAGACAUUGAAGAUGGGAAGAAUAACAUGACAAGUUGGAGCCAAAAAGUUGGUAAACCCAUGGUAAUAAGAGCAGUUAAAGCACCAAAAAGUUGUAAACCCCACCACUUUGGGUGUUUGUAUCUGUCAGAAUCGAUCAAAGCCCUCAAAUGAAACUCUUUUAACAUGCUAUGCCGGCAAAUGCAAAACCCAUCUUCAACUAGUGGCAGAUGACAACCACCCCAUUUAUUCAUUCUUUUUAUCAUGUAUAUUUUUCUUUUUGUACUAGUUCAUCUAUCAUCACCACUCAUAAGUUCUCUCAACACUAUAUUUCCAUC